CUUAGAGGUGUUUCGUACUUCAGUAUUUAAACCAAUGAUUCGCCUUGGAAUGCAUAACAGCCUAAUUAAAUAA
rnacentral:tRNA from 1 species